GAACAUCCUAUAAGGAUCAGAGAAGGAAAAAAGAAACAUGGUGAAUGGAGAAUGAACUUUGGAUUUGGAAAGAAUAGAACAAAAAUGGCUAAUGAGGGAGAAGAGAUUGUCCGCUAGUCUUUCAAGCAUGCCCAGAUCUGCCUUUCCUAUGAGUGAAUACUAAGCAUCUAACAGAUCUGUCUGCCUGAUUCCAAUAUAUACAUACAAAUUGGUGAACCUACUUCUGCCCAUGUAUGAAUCAUGAAUCAUCACCCCUUCCGGUCUGAUUCUUCAUAACCACAGAGCACCAGAUCUCAUUCACUGAAAAAGGAAAAGUUCUUAACAAUUGAAGGAUAUGGAAUAAAUAAUUGACAACAAUAAAUGAAUAGGUGGUUAAAUCCAUUACCAUGAAAGGAAUCACACAGGCAAGUUGUACAUACAAGUAAGUAGUAACACAACAAAUGAUGUAAAUAAACAAGAUGCUAUAAAAGAUUUCCAUGAGUCCCAGAAGGAAG
rnacentral:lncRNA from 1 species